GAUGAACGCUGGCGGCGUGCCUAAUACAUGCAAGUCGAGCGAACAGAUGAGGAGCUUGCUCCUCUGACGUUAGCGGCGGACGGGUGAGUAACACGUGGAUAACCUACCUAUAAGACUGGGAUAACUUCGGGAAACCGGAGCUAAUACCGGAUAAUAUAUUGAACCGCAUGGUUCAAUAGUGAAAGACGGUUUUGCUGUCACUUAUAGAUGGAUCCGCGCCGCAUUAGCUAGUUGGUAAGGUAACGGCUUACCAAGGCAACGAUGCGUAGCCGACCUGAGAGGGUGAUCGGCCACACUGGAACUGAGACACGGUCCAGAUUCCUACGGGAGGCAGCAGUAGGGAAUCUUCCGCAAUGGGCGAAAGCCUGACGGAGCAACGCCGCGUGAGUGAUGAAGGUCUUCGGAUCGUAAAACUCUGUUAUUAGGGAAGAACAAAUGUGUAAGUAACUAUGCACGUCUUGACGGUACCUAAUCAGAAAGCCACGGCUAACUACGUG
rnacentral:rRNA from 1 species